CGAGUCUCCAGCCGGGCGCCGCUGCUAGGAGCCCGGCAGGAAGCCCCCCGCUACCGCCAGCUUUAACGUCCCAUCUGCAAAGGAAGGGAGGUUCACAGCACCUAAGCUGCUUCCCUAGGUCAUACGGCCGGGAGGUAGAAGGCGUGCAGACACGUGGCAAGGAGCACACGUGGCGUGCUUGUCCCCGGGUGCCCCUGUCCCGCACAGCCUACCACCCCGACCUCAGGAAUGUGCGGGAGCGGGGCCGGAAGCAGUUGUGGCUCCCCGAGUCAGCUGGGCACAGCUUUCCCAUAUAAGGCCGGGCCCUGCGGGGAGGAGCUGGGUUUGGGACGCCCCCGUUCCUGCCACGAGGCCGGAGGGUUGGACCCUCAUAGCUCUGGGGCGCAGCAAUGGCGGGCACGGAGCCGUGGAACCUCAGGGCGGGGCUCCCAAACCUUGCGUGAGUGGGGUCUGAUACUGGAGAAUCCCUGAGAUCAAGAGUGCGUGGACACCCAGCCUGGCUUUCCCUCUGGAUAACGCUCCUGAGUCUGCGACCCUCAAGAGGACACUGACUUCCUGAGGGGCGGCGAAGAUGACUGGAGGGUGGGCCUCUUUGGAGACGCAACCCCAUCUCCAGUGGCUGCAGUGAACUCAAGAUAAGGUUAAGACUCUGGGUAUCCCAAGAUCACUCUGGAGUUUGGACCCUGGUAAAGCUUUUAACCUGGAGCUUUUGGGUAUGUGAUUUUACCACACAGAGUGACAAUGACACUGGCCCUCUUGGAGCAUGUGUGAACAUUCUGUAAGAUGGUGUACUUGGCACCCUACUGCUGUGCUCCGGUUUAUUAAUCAUUGCUGCUACCAUUAUCAUUGGGCAGGUUUCCAGGAAUGGGCAGUGCCCAGGCUGCUGGGGAGAGGCAAUUCCAGCCUUCCCACACCUGUAGCCCAUGGGACGCAGGCUCUAAGCCGAAGUCCAGGAAGGUGCCACAAGCUGGGCAAAUAGCCUGGGAUCGUGUAAGCCCUGAGAGGUCCGGACAGGCCCUUCCCUCCCUCCUCUUUGUUCCUGAGACCACAUCCUUUCUCCGGACUCCACCCACUACUGGCUCCAGUAUACAGGCUUGCUCCGCCAACGCUCACAGAGCGCUUUCGGGACACCUGGUCUUUGCCGUCCCAGGGAAAGCACUGGGUGACUAGCAGCAUCUUGACCUUGUAUCGAGUCGCCAAGGACCCUCUGAGAUGGAACAGGAUCAAUCAUAUCGGUAGUUCGUCUCCCCCUGCCCAUAACAGCAUGCUCUCCCAAACCCUUUAAAGUCUGCCUCUGGGAGCCGGGUAGUCCUAAACAGGGACUAUGAACUUAACAACCCUCAAGAAAACAGAAGGCUCCAAAGAGCCAGAUAUUCCCAAGAUCAAAUAAGGAGUCAGCCAGAAGACACAAGAGUUCAGACCCAGUCGAGAAAGCCACCCCGCACGUCCGGCCCUGGAGGCUGUGGAGCCGCCCUACCGGUCUUGGUGGAGACAAAAAUGGGGUGGAGCCUAAACUGGGAUGGAGCCUGGCCAGAUAGUCUGGAAUCCUACUUAAUAAGUAAAAACU
rnacentral:lncRNA from 1 species